rnacentral:miRNA from 10 species
UAUUAGGUUGGAGCAAAAGUAAUUGUGGUUUUUGCCAUUACUUUUAACCACAAAUUCUUUUGCGCCAACCUAAUAAUA